AAAUUGAAGAGUUUGAUCAUGGCUCAGAUUGAACGCUGGCGGCAGGCCUAACACAUGCAAGUCGAACGGUAACAGGAAGCAGCUUGCUGCUUUGCUGACGAGUGGCGGACGGGUGAGUAAUGUCUGGGAAACUGCCUGAUGGAGGGGGAUAACUACUGGAAACGGUGGCUAAUACCGCAUAACGUCGCAAGACCAAAGAGGGGGACCUUCGGGCCUCUUGCCAUCAGAUGUGCCCAGAUGGGAUUAGCUUGUUGGUGAGGUAACGGCUCACCAAGGCGACGAUCCCUAGCUGGUCUGAGAGGAUGACCAGCCACACUGGAACUGAGACACGGUCCAGACUCCUACGGGAGGCAGCAGUGGGGAAUAUUGCACAAUGGGCGCAAGCCUGAUGCAGCCAUGCCGCGUGUAUGAAGAAGGCCUUCGGGUUGUAAAGUACUUUCAGCGGGGAGGAAGGUGUUGCGGUUAAUAACCGCAGCAAUUGACGUUACCCGCAGAAGAAGCACCGGCUAACUCCGUGCCAGCAGCCGCGGUAAUACGGAGGGUGCAAGCGUUAAUCGGAAUUACUGGGCGUAAAGCGCACGCAGGCGGUCUGUCAAGUCGGAUGUGAAAUCCCCGGGCUCAACCUGGGAACUGCAUUCGAAACUGGCAGGCUUGAGUCUUGUAGAGGGGGGUAGAAUUCCAGGUGUAGCGGUGAAAUGCGUAGAGAUCUGGAGGAAUACCGGUGGCGAAGGCGGCCCCCUGGACAAAGACUGACGCUCAGGUGCGAAAGCGUGGGGAGCAAACAGGAUUAGAUACCCUGGUAGUCCACGCCGUAAACGAUGUCUACUUGGAGGUUGUGCCCUUGAGGCGUGGCUUCCGGAGCUAACGCGUUAAGUAGACCGC
rnacentral:rRNA from 1 species